GUGCUUGCUUUGGCCGCACAUAUACAAAAAUUGGAACGACACAGAGAAGACGAGCAUGGCCCCUGCACAAGGAUGACACGCAAAUUCGUGAGGCACUCCAUACUUAA